GACGAACGCUGGCGGCGUGCUUAACACAUGCAAGUCGAACGGAAAGGCCCUGCUUUUGUGGGGUGCUCGAGUGGCGAACGGGUGAGUAACACGUGAGUAACCUGCCCUUGACUUUGGGAUAACUUCAGGAAACUGGGGCUAAUACCGGAUAGGAGCUCCUGCUGCAUGGUGGGGGGUGGAAAGUUGCGGCGGUUGGGGAUGGACGCGCGGCUUAUGAGCUUGUUGGUGGGGUAGUGGCUUACCAAGGCUGUGACGGGUAGCCGGCCUGAGAGGGUGACCGGCGACAUUGCGACUGAGAUACGGACCAGACUCCUACGGGAGGCAGCGGUGGGGAAUAUUGCACAAUGGGCGGAAGCCUGAUGCAGAGACGCCGCGUGCGGGAUGACGGCCUUCGGGUUGUAAACCGCUUUCGCCUGUGACGAAGCGUGAGUGACGGUAAUGGGUAAAGAAGCACCGGCUAACUACGUG
rnacentral:rRNA from 1 species